rnacentral:rRNA from 1 species
CGGCCUUCGGGUUGUAAACCUCUUUCAGUAGGGAAGAAGCGAAAGUGACGGUACCUGCAGAAGAAGCGCCGGCUAACUACGUGCCAGCAGCCGCGGUAAUACGUAGGGCGCAAGCGUUAUCCGGAAUUAUUGGGCGUAAAGAGCUCGUAGGCGGUUUGUCGCGUCUGCCGUGAAAGUCCGGGGCUCAACUCCGGAUCUGCGGUGGGUACGGGCAGACUAGAGUGAUGUAGGGGAGACUGGAAUUCCUGGUGUAGCGGUGAAAUGCGCAGAUAUCAGGAGGAACACCGAUGGCGAAGGCAGGUCUCUGGGCAUUAACUGACGCUGAGGAGCGAAAGCAUGGGGAGCGAACAGGAUUAGAUACCCUGGUAGUCCAUGCCGUAAACGUUGGGCACUAGGUGUGGGGGACAUUCCACGUUUUCCGCGCCGUAGCUAACGCAUUAAGUGCCCCGCCUGGGGAGUACGGCCGCAAGGCUAAAACUCAAAGGAAUUGACGGGGGCCCGCACAAGCGGCGGAGCAUGCGGAUUAAUUCGAUGCAACGCGAAGAACCUUACCAAGGCUUGACAUGGACCGGACCGCCGCAGAAAUGUGGUUUCCCCUUUGGGGCUGGUUUACAGGUGGUGCAUGGUUGUCGUCAGCUCGUGUCGUGAGAUGUUGGGUUAAGUCCCGCAACGAGCGCAACCCUCGUUCUAUGUUGCCAGCACGUG